rnacentral:rRNA from 1 species
GAUGAACGCUGGCGGCAGGCUUAACACAUGCAAGUCGAGGGGCAACGCGGGUAGCAAUACUUGGCGGCGACCGGCGCACGGGUGAGUAACACGUAUGUAAUCUGCCCUUUGCAGGAAGAUAGCCCUGAGAAAUCAGGAUUAAUAUUCCAUAACACAGCACUUGGCAUCAAGAUAAGUUGAAAGGAGCAAUCCGGCAAAGGAUGAGCAUGCGGAUCAUUAGUUAGUUGGCGGGGUAAAAGCCCACCAAGACAGCGAUGAUUAGGGGUUCUGAGAGGAAAGUCCCCCACACCGGAACUGAGACACGGUCCGGACUCCUACGGGAGGCAGCAGUGAGGAAUAUUGGUCAAUGGGCGAGAGCCUGAACCAGCCAUGCCGCGUGCAGGAAGAAAGCCCUACGGGUUUUAAACUGCUUUUAUGCGGGAGCAAUACAAAGUAUGCAUACUUUGUUGAGAGUACCGCAGGAAAAAGCAUCGGCUAACUCCGUGCCAGCAGCCGCGGUAAUACGGAGGAUGCAAGCGUUAUCCGGAUUCAUUGGGUUUAAAGGGUGCGCAGGCGGACUGUCAGGUCAGCGCGUAAAUGGCGGGGCUCAACCCCGUAAACAGCGUUGAAACCGGCAGACUGGAAUGUGCAUGAAGCCGGAGGAAUGUGCGGUGUAGCGGUGAAAUGCUUAGAUAUCGCACAGAAGACCGAUUGCGAAGGCAUCCGGCUAAUGCAAAAUUGACGCUGAGGCACGAAAGCGCGGGGAUCAAACAGGAUUAGAUACCCUGGUAGUCCGCGCCGUAAACGAUGAUAACUCGCCGUCGGGUCAAAAGAUUCGGCAGCCAAGCGAAAGCGAUAAGUUAUCCACCUGGGGAGUACGGCCGCAAGGCUGAAACUCAAAGGAAUUGACGGGGGCCCGCACAAGCGGAGGAACAUGUGGUUUAAUUCGAUGAUACGCGAGGAACCUUACCCGGGCUCGAACGGCGUUUGAAUACGUAUGAAAAUAUGUAGCUGUAACAAGCAAACGUCGAGGUGCUGCAUGGUUGUCGUCAGCUCGUGCCGUGAGGUGUCGGCUUAAGUGCCAUAACGAGCGCAACCCCUGCCGUCCGUUACCAUCGGGUAAUGCCGGGAACUCAGACGGGACUGCCCGCGCAAGCGGCGAGGAAGGGGGGGAUGACGUCAAAUCAGCACGGCCCUUACGUCCGGGGCGACACACGUGUUACAAUGGACGGUACAGAGGGCUGCAACUCCGCGAGGAGAAGCCAAUCCUAAAAGCCGUUCCCGGUUCGGAUCGGAGUCUGAAACUCGACUCCGUGAAGCCGGAUUCGCUAGUAAUCGCGCAUCAGCCACGGCGCGGUGAAUACGUUCCCGGGCC